UACGUAGGGUGCAAGCGUUGUCCGGAAUUAUUGGGCGUAAAGGGCUCGUAGGCGGUCCGUCACGUCGGCUGUGAAAACCCGGGGCUCAACCCCGGGCCUGCAGUCGAUACGGGCGGACUAGAGUUCGGCAGGGGAGACUGGAAUUCCUGGUGUAGCGGUGAAAUGCGCAGAUAUCAGGAGGAACACCGGUGGCGAAGGCGGGUCUCUGGGCCGAUAUUGACGCUGAGGAGCGAAAGCGUGGGGAGCGAACAGG
rnacentral:rRNA from 1 species